rnacentral:lncRNA from 1 species
GAUAGAAAUUGUAAACCGGCGCAAUAGAUAUAGUACCGCAAGGGAAAGAUGAAAAAUUAUAACCAAGCAUAAUACAGCAAGGACUAACCCCUGUACCUUUUGCAUAAUGAAUUAACUAGAAAUAACUUUGCAAAGAGAACCAAAGCUAAGGCCCCCGAAACCAGACGAGCUACCUAAGAACAGCUAAAAGAGCACACCCGUCUAUGUAGCAAAAUAGUGGGAAGAUUUAUAGGUAGAGGCGACAAACCUAUCGAGCCUGGUGAUAGCUGGUUGUCCAAGAUAGAAUCUUAGUUCAACUUUAAAUUUACCUACAGAACCUUCUAAAUCCCCUUGUAAAUUUAACUGUUAGUCCAAAGAGGAACAGCUCUUUGGACACUAGGAAAAAACCUUGUAAAGAGAGUAAAAAAUUUAAUACCCAUAGUAGGCCUAAAAGCAGCCACCAAUUAAGAAAGCGUUCAAGCUCAACACCCAUCGUCUAAAAAAUCCCAAACAUACAACUGAGCUCCUUACACUCAAUUGGACCAAUCUAUUACCUUAUAGAAGAACUAAUGUUAGUAUAAGUAACAUGAAAACAUUCUCCUCCGCAUAAGCCUACAUCAGACCAAAAUAUUAAACUGACAAUUAACAGCCCAAU